AUGACUGAGCUGAAGGCGAAGGGUCCCCGCGCUGCCCACGUGGCAGGCACAGCGCCCUCGCCUACCCAAGUCGGAGCCCCUCUGCGGGGACGCCCAGACGCGGGCUCCUUCCAGGCGGGCGAGGCCUCGGGCCCGACCCCCACAGCCUCGGGCCUCCCCCUCUCCCUGGACGGGCUGAUCUUCCCUCAGCCCUGCCAGGCUCAGGACCUGGACGGGAAGACGCUCGACCCAGAGUCGCUGGCAGGCGUGGAGGGGGCGUAUUCCAGAGGGGAAGCCGCAGAGGGCGCUGCUGUGAGACCCCCAGAGAAGGACGGCGGAUUGCUGGACAGCGUCCUGGACACCCUGCUGGCGCCCCCAGGCCCUGAGCAGAGCCCCGCCAGCCCCGCCGUCUGCGAGGCCCCCAGCCCUUGGUGCCUCUUUGGCCCUGAGCUUGCCCAAGACGCCCGGGCUGCGCCCGCCGCCCAGGGGGUCCUGCCUACACUCAUGAGCCGCCCGGAGAGCAAGGCUGGCGACACCCCCGGGGUGGCCGCCGGCCAGAAGGUGCUGCCCCGGGGCCUGGCGCCGUGCCGGCAGCUGCUGGCCCCGACGGCCUCGAGCCACCCCUGGCCCGCGCCCGCGCCGAGGCCGUCUCCGCAGCCCGCGGUGGUGGAGCUGGAGGAGGACGACUCGGAUCCCGAGGGCUCCUCGGGGCCGCCCCUGAAGGGCAAAGCCCGGCCCGCGGGAGGAGACGCGAUCAGCGCUCCUGGGACCGCCGCGGGAGGCGUCGCCCCGGUGCCCAAAGAAGAUGCCCGCUUCUCGGCGCCCAGGGCCGCCCCGACGGAGCAUGACGCGCCCGCCGCGCCCGGGCGCGCCCCGGUGGCCACCGCGGUGAUGGACUUCAUCCACGUGCCCAUCCUGCCGCUCAACUCGGCCUUCCUGGCCGCCCGCACCCGGCAGCUGCUGGAGGGCGACAGCUAUGACAGCGGGCCCGCCGGCGCCUUCGCCCCGCCGCGGGGCUCGCCCUCCGCCUCGGCCGCCCCGGGCGCGCCUGGCGACUUCCCCGACUGCGCGUACCAGCCCGAAGCCGAGCCCAAGGACGACGCGUUCUCGCUCUACGGGGACCCGCAGCCGCCCGCCCUGAAGAUCAAGGAGGAGGAGGAGGGGGGCGCCGAGGCCGCCGCGCGCUCCCCGCGGCCGUACCUGCUGGCGGGGGCCAGCCCCGCCGUCUUCGCCGACUUCCCGCUGGCGCCGCCGUCCAGGCUGGGGGAGGUGGCGGUGCCCGCGGCCGCCACGGGGGCCCCAGGCUCGUCCGCGGCCGCGUCGGGGUCCGCCCUGGAGUGCGUCCUGUACAAGGCGGAGGGCGCGCCCCCCCAGCCGGGCCCGUUCGCGCCGCCGCCCUGCAAGGCUCCGGCCGCGGGCGCCUGCUUCCUGCCGCGGGACCUGCCGUCCACCUCGUCCGCUGCCGCCGCCGGGGCCGCCCCUGCACUCUACCCGCCGCUCGGCCUCAACGGGCUCCCCCAGCUCGGCUACCAGGCCGCGGUGCUCAAGGAGGGCCUGCCGCAGGUCUACCAGCCCUAUCUCAACUACCUGAGGCCCGAUUCAGAAGCCAGCCAGAGCCCACAGUACAGCUUUGAGUCAUUACCUCAGAAGAUUUGUUUAAUCUGUGGGGAUGAAGCAUCAGGCUGUCAUUAUGGUGUCCUCACCUGUGGAAGCUGUAAGGUCUUCUUUAAAAGGGCAAUGGAAGGACAGCAUAACUACUUAUGUGCUGGAAGAAACGAUUGCAUUGUUGAUAAAAUCCGCAGAAAAAACUGCCCAGCAUGUCGCCUUAGAAAGUGCUGUCAGGCUGGCAUGGUUCUUGGAGGCCGAAAGUUUAAAAAGUUCAAUAAAGUUAGAGUUAUGAGAACACUAGAUGCUGUUGCCCUCCCACAGCCAGUGGGUAUUCCAAAUGAAAGCCAAGCCCUAAGCCAGAGAAUCACUUUUUCACCAAGCCAAGACUUGCAGUUGAUCCCCCCACUGAUCAACUUGCUCAUGAGCAUUGAACCAGAUAUGGUCUAUGCAGGACAUGACAACAGCAAACCUGAUACCUCCAGCUCUCUGCUGACAAGUCUGAAUCAGCUUGGCGAGAGACAGCUUCUCUCAGUGGUCAAGUGGUCUAAGUCACUGCCAGGUUUUCGGAACUUACAUAUUGAUGACCAAAUAACUCUCAUCCAGUAUUCUUGGAUGAGUUUAAUGGUAUUUGGACUAGGAUGGAGAUCUUAUAAGCAUGUCAGUGGACAGAUGCUAUAUUUUGCACCUGAUCUAAUACUAAAUGAACAGCGGAUGAAGGAGUCAUCAUUCUAUUCAUUAUGCCUAACCAUGUGGCAGAUCCCACAGGAGUUUGUGAAGCUUCAAGUCAGCCAAGAAGAGUUCCUCUGUAUGAAAGUAUUGCUACUUCUUAAUACAAUUCCUUUGGAAGGACUAAGAAGCCAAAACCAGUUUGAAGAAAUGAGAUCAAGUUACAUUAGAGAGCUCAUCAAGGCAAUUGGUUUGAGACAAAAAGGAGUUGUCCCUAGCUCACAGCGUUUCUAUCAGCUUACAAAACUUCUUGAUAACUUGCAUGAUCUUGUCAAACAACUUCAUCUGUACUGCUUGAAUACAUUUAUCCAGUCCCGGGCACUGAGUGUUGAAUUUCCAGAGAUGAUGUCUGAGGUUAUCGCUGCACAAUUACCCAAGAUCUUGGCAGGGAUGGUGAAACCUCUUCUGUUUCAUAAAAAGUGA
rnacentral:lncRNA from 1 species